GAUGAACGCUGGCGGCGUGCCUAAUACAUGCAAGUCGAGCGAACGGACGAGAACUUUGCUUCUCUGAUGUUUGCGGCGCACGGGUGAGUAACAUGUGGAUAACCCCUCUAUAAGACUGGGAUCACUUCGGGACACCGGCUCUUACAGCGGAAAAUAAUUUGAACCGCAUGGUUCAAAAGAGAAAGACGAUUUCGCUGUCACUUAUAGAUGCAUCCGCGUUGCAUUAGCUAGUUGGUAAGGCAACGGAUUACCACGGCAACGAUGCACAGCCGACCUGAGAGGUUGAUCGGCCACACUGGACCUGAGACCGGGCCCAGACACCUACGGGGGGAACCGGUAGGGAAUCUUCCGCAAGGGACGAAGGCCUGACGGAGCAACGCGGCGUGAGUGAUGAAGGUCUUCGGAUGGUAAGACUCUGUUAUUAGGGAGAAAGAUAUGUGUAGGUGACUGUGCACAUCUUGACGGUACCUAAUCAGAAAGCGACGGCUAACUACGUG
rnacentral:rRNA from 1 species